CUACGUAGGGAGCGAGCGUUGUCCGGAAUUACUGGGUGUAAAGGGAGCGUAGGCGGGAGUGCAAGUCAGAUGUGAAAUACAUGGGCUCAACCCAUGGGCUGCAUUUGAAACUGCAUUUCUUGAGUGAAGUAGAGGUAAGCGGAAUUCCUGGUGUAGCGGUGAAAUGCGUAGAUAUCAGGAGGAACACCGGUGGCGAAGGCGGCUUACUGGGCUUUUACUGACGCUGAGGCUCGAAAGCGUGGGGAGCAAACAGGAUUAGAUACCCUGGUAGUCUACGCUGUAAACGAUGAUUACUAGGUGUGGGGGGACUGACCCCUUCCGUGCCGCAGUUAACACAAUAAGUAAUCCACCUGGGGAGUACGGCCGCAAGGUUGAAACUCAAAUGAAUUGACGGGG
rnacentral:rRNA from 1 species